rnacentral:lncRNA from 1 species
GUUUAUUACUCCACAGUAAAAGGAACUUACAAGAUAUUCCACUCUUCUAUUUAUCGACAUUAUAGAUAAAACAGCUUGUUAUUUUAGGUAGUAACAAUAUCUUGCAAAAUCCUUUUUUUUUCCUAAUAAGCAGUAAAAAUAGAAUCUGUUUAAUUUUUAAAAAUAAAGCAGUGAUUUUUCUUUUCCUCCCUCCCCUCCUCCAAACUGCUGAUCCAAUUAUUCCCAAACCGAUCUCACUUUUGAAUUUCUGCUCUGAAGUUUGGUGACAAGCCAGGUUGAUAGGUAAUGAAGGGUUAAUUACUUUAUAGAGCUAUAGUAUGAAUUGCACGUUGAAUCAUUUCUUAAUUGAGAAUAUGGCAGAUGUAAUAGGAAAUCCUCUAAUAUGCAGUCAUUUAAGUUUUGGCAAAUACGUAAUAUCUUCAUGGCAAUCUUCUCAGGAAGUCCAGAUAACGUGAAAUUUACUCGUUAGUGUAUCAUCAUACUAUAUCUGAUUUCUCAGUGUAACUAUUUACAAAUUCUAAGAAAAUUUCCCACAGAGAUCACCUGUGUUGAACAGUUACAGACUUAAAUUUUUUGCUUUUAUUUAACAUUAGCAUGAGACAUUUGCUGUUUUCUUACCAGCUAGCCAUUCUAACAUCUUUGGUCUUUCUUAAUAAUUCUAGAUAUACUUAAGUCAGGUGGAUUAUGUUACACUGAGGCAGAGCCAAAAUUGAAAAUGUCUGAUUUGCGUGCACUAGUUCAAUUUCCUUCUGAAAGAGUGCUUGUUUCUUUGCCUAUUUUCUAUACAUUUUUAAAGUCUGUAAUUCCUGGAUUCCUUUUUGUACCUCAAAGUAUUCAAAGGCCGUUCAAAUAAAUGAAUAAUUAAUUAUUUUCUUUGUUCUUCUUAUCACUUUUCCCAUUGCACAAAACAUUAAAAGCAAUGAAGUGUUAAGCAACUUACUUUUUUAAAAAUUUAUUUAAUUCACUAAACAUAAAAUUCUAUUAGGUGGUCAAAUUCACUGUUAUAUGAUUUUGUUAUUGAAUAAUUCAGUUCAGCCUUGACUAUAGUGGAGCUCCUUCCAACAGUAAUAAAAUAGGGAGUUAAUAUGGAAUAUGCA